rnacentral:rRNA from 1 species
UGGAAGUUAAAAGCGUAACAAUGUAUCUGUUGGUGAACUAGCGGAGGGAUCAUUA